rnacentral:tRNA from 1 species
CCAAGUGUGGUAUAGUGGUUUGAAUGUUAGACUAUGACUCUGGAGACCAGGGUUCAAAUCCCAGCUUGGA